UCCACAGUUUCACUGAGCCCAGUAGAGUUAGCCUGUUAGCCCAAGCCUCCUCUCCUCCUCUCUCUCCCUCUCUCUCUCUCCGGCGAACUUCUCCGACGACGGCGAUGCGGACCUGCUCCCUCUCCGCAGCCUCGUUCCCGUGCCGUUACUCCUUUUCCUCUCCCAUCCUAUCCCGCCUUCACCAACCGUACUAGCUAGGAUACCACUAUGGUAGCAGUACUCCGGCGAGCCGGCAACCACGCCAACUUGUUACCUCUUUUCUACUGGGAUCUAUUUUUUUGUCUUGGAGAUUUUUGGUAUUCGUGAGAAGAUUCUGGGAUCCCAGAAGAUCUAAGCCAAGGCGGCUCAAUCGAUUUGCUUUGGGCGGCUUGAUAAGACGUCGCAGUCACAACUAGCUUAAUUUGCCUCGUCAUUUCCGCGGUGGUGGUUUUCUUUGGGUAACAUUGACUCGCUAAGGAAGAUGGUUAGUGAAUGCUGACACUUUGUCUCUGGUGAUUGGAGGGGUUUCCUCUGGUGGAGGCUCAACUAGACGUCUAGACAGUGAAAUACGAGCUACUGAAUCUGCACAUGUCUUCCCUGAUUGAAAUGCCCUCUUGUUGACAAAUUUGCCUGAGAUUCCGUUUUCCGUGGGCAGUUUGUGUGCUUUUUUUACAUGCCUAGAAAUAUCACCCCGGGCAACGCCGCAUCUGCUCAUUCAAUGGAUCACUCUUCUUUAGCUCAGUUUGCUUUUCAUUUCACCAAUGGCUAAUUCUUUGGAAUAAUUUGACUGUUUUGGGGAACUUGCUUGCUUGAAUGGAGUAUUUUUUUUUUCUUCCUGUCUUUCUUUCUUUUUCACACUUGACUGACCUUGAUUAAAUUUGCUUACCGUGAGAACAUCUACUUAGUGAAGGGGGAUUUCAUGUUCCUCAAGGCUGAGCCUGACUACCUAACCACUGGCCUUGGGUUUCAAGACAAGAACCUGCCAGUGCCUCUUGACUGCUUAAGAAAACUUCCUAACCCUGUCCCUUUUCAGUUUUAUAUAUUUGGUGGUGAACUUGGAUUAAGAUAAGCAAUCAAUGUGGACUGCUACUAGUUAAGAAAGCAACUACUCUCAUGUCAGAAUAAUUGUUUCAGCAAAGUUCAUAUCUGUACAAGCGCCUAAUUGACUAAUUUUCAAUUGCCAACUUAACUAAUCGUAGAUUCCCUCAUGAUUCAUUACUAGUUUGCUCCAGCGAACAUGUUCCAUUUAUUUAGCUUCAUCUGCACCGUCCUUUCUCCCAUUCUCUUUACUAUUUCAGGUGUCUAUAUGUUGAUCUCUAUCUUCUGACUUCAUAUACUCCUAGAUUAAUGGAACAUCUGUAUCUGUACAAAUUAGUAGUCUUCUCAUUAGGUGGAUUAUGACUCCUUCUAUUGACUAAUUGGCUGACCUUGCACUUAUGGUCCAAGCUGUUCACACUUCACACUAUCUUUUCUUCUUGAACAACUGUCUGAUUGGGAAAUAUGAUUCAUAUCAUCUCUGCACUUUUAUAUGGUAAGGUUCUGUGAAUGUCUCAGCUACUCGGUCACUAUGUCGGCUUCGCUUUGAGAAAUCAUCUUCAAUUCUUGUUCAAGGAUACUUUGACUAAUUAUGCGUGUAUAAAGGGUUGAAACAUCUAAGUAGCAUGGACACAAGCACUCAUACUCCACUCAGAGAGGGAUGGAGGCUGUUGCAUGUGUAUCAUGCGGAGCCUUGGGGUCCCUGCUGCGGAAGCUGGGUGCUUUGCUCUCUGAUGAAUUCAAACUUCUCACUACUGUAAAGGGUGGUAUCAUGUUCCUUCAAGCCGAGCUUGAGAGCAUGCAUGCUUUUCUCAAGAAGAUGUCUGAGGUCGAGGACCCCGAUGAGCAGUCCAGGUGCUCGCUUAAGGAAUUGCGGGAGCUGUCAUAUGACAUUGAGGACGUCAUUGACAGUUUCAUGCUCUCCCUUGGUGGCGAGUCCAGCAGCAAUCCUCGUGGCUUCGUGAGGUUUGUAGGCAGUUGCAUGGACUUGUUGGCAAAUGCCAUGACUCACCAUAGGUUUGCCAAGAAAAUCAAAGUUCUGAAACGCCGUGCUAUUGAGGCUAGCAGUCGGCGUGCAAGGUACAUGGUUGAUGAUGUGGUUUCAAGGUCAAGCAGGCCAAACAUAGACACUCGCCUACCAGCAUUGUACACUGAGAUGACAAGGCUUGUGGGCAUUGAUGGCCCAAGGGAUAAACUCAUCAAGUUACUAACAAAAAGGGACGGAGCACUGGCGCAGCAGCUAAAGGUUGUAUCGAUUGUUGGAUUUGGAGGCCUUGGAAAGACUACUCUUGCUAAUCAAGUGUACCAGAAUCUAGAAGGGCAAUUUGAAUAUCAAGUUUUUGUGUCGGUGUCCCAGAAACCAGACAUGAAGAAGAUUUUCAGAAAUAUACUCUCCCAGAUCUUCCGGCAAGAGAGUGUCAGCAAUGAAGCAUGGGACGAGCAGCAACUUGUCAAAACAAUAAGACAAUUCCUGAAGGAUAAAAGGUACUUGAUAGUAAUUGAUGAUAUAUGGCGUAAAUCAGCAUGGAGAGUAAUCAAAUGUGCUUUUCCUGAAAAUAGUUGUUCCAGUGGAAUAUUGAUAACAACACGUAUCAUCGCAGUAGCCAAGUAUUGUAGCUCUCAGCACCAUGAUCAUGUGUAUCAAAUAAAGCCUCUUAGCGCAACUCACUCAAAGAGCUUAUUUUUCAAACGAGCUUUUGGCUCUGAAGAUGGAUGCCCCCUUCAGCUGAGAGAUGUUUCGGAUGGAAUUUUGAAAAAAUGUGGUGGUUUGCCAUUGGCGAUCAUUACACUGGCUAGCUUAUUGGCUAACAAAGCUAGUACCAGAGAAGAAUGGCUGAGGAUACAUAAUUCUAUUGGUUCCACACUUGAAAAAGAUUCAGAUAUGGAAGAGAUGAAGAACAUAUUAUUCCUUAGUUACAAUGAUCUCCCAUACCAUUUGAAGACAUGUUUGCUAUAUCUCAGUGUAUUUCCUGAAGAUUACGAGAUCAAGAGAGAUCAGUUAGUAAGGAGAUGGAUUGCUGAAGGUUUCAUCAUCGCCGAAGGUGGACUGGAUCUGGAGGAAGCAGGAGAAUGCUAUUUCAAUGAUCUGAUCAACAGAAACAUGAUUCAACCGGUCGGAAUCCAGUAUGAUGGUCGAGCUGAUGCCUGCCGUGUCCAUGAUAUGAUUCUUGACCUUAUUAUAUCCAAGUCACUUGAAGAUAAUUUUGUAACCUUAUUCUGUGACCCAAACCAGAAGUUGCUGCAGCACGACAAGGUUCGUCGGCUAUCCCUCAACUAUCAUGCUCGAGAACAUACUGUGGUAUCACCAAACAUGAUUGUCUCUCAUGUCCGAUCCCUCACUAUCUUUGGACUUGCUGAAAAUAUGCCUCCUCUUUCAAAAUUUCAAUCUUUAAGAGUGCUAGAUCUGGAAAAUAGAGAGGUGUUGGAACACAAUUAUCUUAAACACAUAAGCAGGCUUUCUCAGUUGAGGUACCUGCGACUCAAUGUAAGAAAAAUCACUUCACUUCCUGAACAACUUGGAGGGUUGCAGCAUUUGCAGACCUUAGACUUGAGAUGGACACGGGUAAAAGAGUUGCCGGCAAGUAUCGUUCAGCUACAGAAACUGGCAUGUCUGUUGGUUAACAGUGCAGAGUUGCCUGAAGGGAUUCAGAGUAUGCAAGCUCUACGGGAAUUAUCAGAGAUUGAAAUCAACCAGAACACUUCUCUGUCUUCUUUGCAGGAGCUUGGCAGUCUGACCAAAUUAAGAAUACUUGAGCUGAACCUGAACUGGCACAUAAGUGAUACAGAUUGUGUCAUGAAUGCUUAUGAAUAUAACUUGGUUAUGUCCCUCUGCAAACUAGGAAUGCUCAAUCUUCGAUCGAUCCAUAUUCAAAGCUACCAUUCUUGUUCCCUUGAUUUCUUACUUGACUCUUGGGUUCCUCCUCGUCUACUCCAGAGGUUUGAGAUGUCCAUACACUACUAUUUCCCCAUAAUUCCAAAGUGGCUAGGCUCACUUGACUACCUCUCUUACCUAGACAUCAAUGUCAAUCCAGUAGAUGUGGAAGCACUCAAAAUCCUCGGGGAUAUGCCCUCUCUGUCAUUUCUCUGGAUAUCCUCAAGAACAGCAAGGCCUAAAGAAAGGCUCGUUAUCAGCAGAAAUGGAUUCCGAUGCCUGAGGGAAUUCUAUUUUACCUGCUGGGAGAGCGGGGAAGGGCUGAUGUUUGAAGCAGGAGCCGUGCCAGAGCUUGAGAAGCUCCGGGUUCCAUUUAAUGCGCAUGAUGUAUGCUCUUUGCAUGGUGUUCUGGAUUUUGGCAUCCAGAAUCUCUAUUCGCUCAAGCAUCUCCAUGUUGAGAUUGUUUGUUAUGGAGCGAAAAUUCGAGAGGUGGAGACCUUGGAGGAUGCUGUUAGGAAUGCGGCUGUCUCCCUUUCGGAUGAACUUGCUCUUGAAGUGAGUAGGUGGAAUGAAGAAGAGAUCAUGAAGGACGGAGAGCAUAAACUCACGGAAGAGGAGGUUGGUUCCAACAACUAGCGCAUAACUAAAUAUUGAGGAAGCAAGGAGAUGUGUCUGAUGAGAAAUGCAAACUGAUGGACCUGCACAGUUUAUAUAUUGACCGCUUUCACUUGAGAUUUAGUUCAGGAACCAGGAAGGGUGUUUAUUUUGAGAGGCUGAAACUCGCAGCAGCGGCGCCAUAAUUAGGGCAAUUUUGUGCCUGGUCAAUUUAGUUGGUUAUUGAGCUCAACAAUGGGUCUGAACUCUGAACGAGUGCUCUCGAUCAGUCAUCAAUCUGCGGCACAUUGUCUGUUUGAAACUUUCAUGUUCAAACGAUCGUGUACGGCAACUAAAUGCUCCAUGAUCCCGUUUUGAACGCCCGAAUUUGUUUGUAUAUCUGUGUGGAGCUGGACUAUAUUUUUCCGAAGCAGACAUGGCCAGUUGUACAUUUCAGUUCUAAUAAGUGCUGUUGUUUGGUUGAAAGUUGAUACUUGGAACUGCUUGCUUGAAACCAUUGAACUUUCUGUUUC